rnacentral:ncRNA from 1 species
GGGGCAGAGGGAAUUUCCGGUGGAGCGGUGAAAUGCAUUGAGAUCGGAAAGAACACCAACGGCGAAAGCACUCUGCUGGGCCGACACUGACACUGAGAGACGAAAGCUAGGGGAGCAAAUGGGAUUAGAGACCCCAGUAGUCCUAGCCGUAAACGAUGGAUACUAGGUGCUGUGCGACUCGACCCGUGCAGUGCUGUAGCUAACGCGUUAAGUAUCCCGCCUGGGGAGUACGUUCGCAAGAAUGAAACUCAAAGGAAUUGACGGGGGCC